GGUUAAGCGACUAAGCGUACACGGUGGAUGCCCUGGCAGUCAGAGGCGAUGAAGGACGUGCUAAUCUGCGAAAAGCGUCGGUAAGGUGAUAUGAACCGUUAUAACCGGCGAUGUCCGAAUGGGGAAACCCAGUGUGAUUCGUCACACUAUCGUUAACUGAAUACAUAGGUUAACGAGGCGAACCGGGGGAACUGAAACAUCUAAGUACCCCGAGGAAAAGAAAUCAACCGAGAUUCCCCCAGUAGCGGCGAGCGAACGGGGAGCAGCCCAGAGUCUGAAUCAGCUUGUGUGUUAGUGGAACGGUCUGGAAAGUCCGACGGUACAGGGUGAUAGUCCCGUACACCAAAAUGCACAGGUUGUGAACUCGAAGAGUAGGGCGGGACACGUGGUAUCCUGUCUGAAUAUGGGGGGACCAUCCUCCAAGGCUAAAUACUCCUGACUGACCGAUAGUGAACCAGUACCGUGAGGGAAAGGCGAAAAGAACCCCGGCGAGGGGAGUGAAAAAGAACCUGAAACCGUGUACGUACAAGCAGUGGGAGCACCUUCGGGUGUGACUGCGUACCUUUUGUAUAAUGGGUCAGCGACUUAUAUUCUGUAGCAAGGUUAACCGUAUAGGGGAGCCGCAGGGAAACCGAGUCUUAACUGGGCGUUAAGUUGCAGGGUAUAGACCCGAAACCCGGUGAUCUAGCCAUGGGCAGGUUGAAGGUUGGGUAACACUAACUGGAGGACCGAACCGACUAAUGUUGAAAAAUUAGCGGAUGACUUGUGGCUGGGGGUGAAAGGCCAAUCAAACCGGGAGAUAGCUGGUUCUCCCCGAAAGCUAUUUAGGUAGCGCCUCGUGAACUCAUCUUCGGGGGUAGAGCACUGUUUCGGCUAGGGGGUCAUCCCGACUUACCAACCCGAUGCAAACUACGAAUACCGAAGAAUGUUAUCACGGGAGACACACGGCGGGUGCUAACGUCCGUCGUGAAGAGGGAAACAACCCAGACCGCCAGCUAAGGUCCCAAAGUCAUGGUUAAGUGGGAAACGAUGUGGGAAGGCACAGACAGCCAGGAUGUUGGCUUAGAAGCAGCCAUCAUUUAAAGAAAGCGUAAUAGCUCACUGGUCGAGUCGGCCUGCGCGGAAGAUGUAACGGGGCUAAACCAUGCACCGAAGCUGCGGCAGCGACACUAUGUGUUGUUGGGUAGGGGAGCGUUCUGUAAGCCUGCGAAGGUGACCUGUGAGGGUUGCUGGAGGUAUCAGAAGUGCGAAUGCUGACAUAAGUAACGAUAAAGCGGGUGAAAAGCCCGCUCGCCGGAAGACCAAGGGUUCCUGUCCAACGUUAAUCGGGGCAGGGUGAGUCGACCCCUAAGGCAAGGCCGAAAGACGUAGUCGAUGGGAAACAGGUUAAUAUUCCUGUACUUGGUGUUACUGCGAAGGGGGGACGGAGAAGGCUAUGUUAGCCGGGCGACGGUUGUCCCGGUUUAAGCAUGUAGGCUGGUUAUCCAGGCAAAUCCGGAUAAUCAAGGCUGAGGUGUGAUGACGAGGCACUACGGUGCUGAAGUAACAAAUGCCCUGCUUCCAGGAAAAGCCUCUAAGCAUCAGGUAACAUUAAAUCGUACCCCAAACCGACACAGGUGGUCAGGUAGAGAAUACCAAGGCGCUUGAGAGAACUCGGGUGAAGGAACUAGGCAAAAUGGUGCCGUAACUUCGGGAGAAGGCACGCUGGUGUGUAGGUGAAGUCCCUGCGGAUGGAGCUGAGACCAGUCGAAGAUACCAGCUGGCUGCAACUGUUUAUUAAAAACACAGCACUGUGCAAACACGAAAGUGGACGUAUACGGUGUGACGCCUGCCCGGUGCCGGAAGGUUAAUUGAUGGGGUUAUCCGUAAGGAGAAGCUCUUGAUCGAAGCCCCGGUAAACGGCGGCCGUAACUAUAACGGUCCUAAGGUAGCGAAAUUCCUUGUCGGGUAAGUUCCGACCUGCACGAAUGGCGUAAUGAUGGCCAGGCUGUCUCCACCCGAGACUCAGUGAAAUUGAACUCGCUGUGAAGAUGCAGUGUACCCGCGGCAAGACGGAAAGACCCCGUGAACCUUUACUAUAGCUUGACACUGAACAUUGAGCCUUGAUGUGUAGGAUAGGUGGGAGGCUUUGAAGCGUGGACGCCAGUCUGCGUGGAGCCAACCUUGAAAUACCACCCUUUAAUGUUUGAUGUUCUAACGUUGGCCCCUGACCGGGGUUGCGGACAGUGUCUGGUGGGUAGUUUGACUGGGGCGGUCUCCUCCCAAAGCGUAACGGAGGAGCACGAAGGUUAGCUAAUCCUGGUCGGACAUCAGGAGGUUAGUGCAAUGGCAUAAGCUAGCUUGACUGCGAGCGUGACGGCGCGAGCAGGUGCGAAAGCAGGUCAUAGUGAUCCGGUGGUUCUGAAUGGAAGGGCCAUCGCUCAACGGAUAAAAGGUACUCCGGGGAUAACAGGCUGAUACCGCCCAAGAGUUCAUAUCGACGGCGGUGUUUGGCACCUCGAUGUCGGCUCAUCACAUCCUGGGGCUGAAGUAGGUCCCAAGGGUAUGGCUGUUCGCCAUUUAAAGUGGUACGCGAGCUGGGUUUAGAACGUCGUGAGACAGUUCGGUCCCUAUCUGCCGUGGGCGCUGGAGAAUUGAGGGGGGCUGCUCCUAGUACGAGAGGACCGGAGUGGACGCAUCACUGGUGUUCGGGUUGUCAUGCCAAUGGCACUGCCCGGUAGCUAAAUGCGGAAGAGAUAAGCGCUGAAAGCAUCUAAGCACGAAACUUGCCCCGAGAUGAGUUCUCCCUGAGACUUUAAGUCUCCUGAAGGAACGUUAAAGACGAUGACGUUGAUAGGCCGGGUGUGUAAGCGCAGCGAUGCGUUGAGCUAACCGGUACUAAUGAACCGUGAGGCUUAACCUU
rnacentral:rRNA from 1 species